GACGAACGCUGGCGGCGUGCUUAACACAUGCAAGUCGAACGGAAAGGCCCAGCUUGCUGGGUGCUCGAGUGGCGAACGGGUGAGUAACACGUGGGUGAUCUGCCCCUGACUUUGGGAUAAGCCUGGGAAACUGGGUCUAAUACCGGAUAUGACCWKWYGKUGCAUGMCKUYUGGUGGAAAGCCUUGUGCGGUUGGGGAUGGGCCCGCGGCCUAUCAGCUUGUUGGUGGGGUAAUGGCCUACCAAGGCGACGACGGGUAGCCGACCUGAGAGGGUGAUCGGCCACACUGGGACUGAGACACGGCCCAGACUCCUACGGGAGGCAGCAGUGGGGAAUAUUGCACAAUGGGCGCAAGCCUGAUGCAGCGACGCCGCGUGAGGGAUGACGGCCUUCGGGUUGUAAACCUCUUUCACCAGGGACGAAGCKYWWGUGACGGUACCUGGAGAAGAAGCACCGGCCAACUACGUGC
rnacentral:rRNA from 2 species